rnacentral:rRNA from 2 species
GGCCGGGCGCCCUGCGGGUCUUUACACAUGCAGUCGAACGAUGAACCACCUUCGGGUGGGGAUUAGUGGCGAACGGGUGAGUAACACGUGGGCAAUCUGCCCUGCACUCUGGGACAAGCCCUGGAAACGGGGUCUAAUACCGGAUACUGACCUGCCGAGGCAUCUUGGCGGGUCGAAAGCUCCGGCGGUGCAGGAUGAGCCCGCGGCCUAUCAGCUUGUUGGUGAGGUAAUGGCUCACCAAGGCGACGACGGGUAGCCGGCCUGAGAGGGCGACCGGCCACACUGGGACUGAGACACGGCCCAGACUCCUACGGGAGGCAGCAGUGGGGAAUAUUGCACAAUGGGCGCAAGCCUGAUGCAGCGACGCCGCGUGAGGGAUGACGGCCUUCGGGUUGUAAACCUCUUUCAGCAGGGAAGAAGCGAAAGUGACGGUACCUGCAGAAGAAGCGCCGGCUAACUACGUGCCAGCAGCCGCGGUAAUACGUAGGGCGCAAGCGUUGUCCGGAAUUAUUGGGCGUAAAGAGCUCGUAGGCGGCUUGUCACGUCGGUUGUGAAAGCCCGGGGCUUAACCCCGGGUCUGCAGUCGAUACGGGCAGGCUAGAGUUCGGUAGGGGAGAUCGGAAUUCCUGGUGUAGCGGUGAAAUGCGCAGAUAUCAGGAGGAACACCGGUGGCGAAAGCGGAUCUCUGGGCCGAUACUGACGCUGAUGAGCGAAAGCGUGGGGAGCGAACAGGAUUAGAUACCCUGGUAGUCCACGCCGUAAACGGUGGGCACUAGGUGUGGGCAACAUUCCACGUUGUCCGUGCCGCAGCUAACGCAUUAAGUGCCCCGGCCUGGGGAGUACGGGCCGCAGGGCUAAAACU